AUUGAACGCUGGCGGCAGGCCUAACACAUGCAAGUCGAACGAGUUGCGGACGGGUGAGUAAUGUCUGGGAAACUGCCUGAUGACGGGGGAUAACUACUGGAAACGGUAGCUAAUACCGCAUACCAUCGAAUGUGCCCAGAUGGGUUUAGCUACUAGGGGGGGUAAAGGCUCACCUAGGCGACUAUCCCUAGCUGGUCUGAGAGGAUGACCAGCCAAACUGGAACUGAGACACGGUCCAGAUUCCUACGGGAGGCAGCAGUGGGGAAUAUUGCACAAUGGGCGCAAGCCUGAUGCAGCCAUGCCGCGUGUAUGAAGAAGGCCUUCGGGUUGUAAAGUACUUUCAGCGGGGAGGCGUUACCCGCAGAAGAAGCACCGGCUAACUCCGUGCCAGCAGCCGCGGUAAUUC
rnacentral:rRNA from 1 species